rnacentral:rRNA from 1 species
AGAGUUUGAUCAUGGCUCAGGAUGAACGCUAGCGGCAGGCUUAACACAUGCAAGUCGAGGGGUAUAGUAGCAAUACUAGAGACCGGCGCACGGGUGCGUAACGCGUAUGCAACCUACCUUUUACAGAGGGAUAGCCCAGAGAAAUUUGGAUUAAUACCUCAUAGUGUUAUUAGAUGGCAUCAUUUGAUAACUAAAGUUCCAACGGUAAAAGAUGGGCAUGCGUCCUAUUAGCUAGAUGGUAAGGUAACGGCUUACCAUGGCUACGAUAGGUAGGGGUCCUGAGAGGGAGAUCCCCCACACUGGUACUGAGACACGGACCAGACUCCUACGGGAGGCAGCAGUGAGGAAUAUUGGACAAUGGGCGCAAGCCUGAUCCAGCCAUGCCGCGUGCAGGAAGAAGCAUCUAUGGUGUGUAAACUGCUUUUGUACGGGAAGAAACACUCCUACGUGUAGGGGCUUGACGGUACCGUAAGAAUAAGGAUCGGCUAACUCCGUG